AAUGAACGCUGGCGGCGCGCCUAAUACAUGCAAGUCGAGCGAGAAGACGUAGCAAUACGUUUGUAAAGCGGCGAACGGGUGAGGAAUACAUGGGUAACCUACCCUCGAGUGGGGAAUAACUAGCCGAAAGGUUAGCUAAUACCGCGUACGCUCCUUUGGACUUCGGUUCAGGGAGGAAAGCGAUACCGUGGGUAUCGCGCUCUUGGUUGGGCUCAUGUCCUAUCAGCUUGUUGGUGAGGUAACGGCUCACCAAGGC
rnacentral:rRNA from 1 species